CCUACGGGAGGCAGCAGUAGGGAAUAUUGCUCAAUGGGGGAAACCCUGAUGCAGCAACGCCGCGUGGAGGAUGAAGGUUUUAGGAUUGUAAACUCCUUUUGUUAGAGAAGAUUAUGACGGUAUCUAACGGAUAAGCACCGGCUAACUCCGUGCCAGCAGCCGAGGUCAUACGGAGGGUGCAAGCGUUACUCGGGAUCACUGGGCGUAAAGUGUGCGUAGGCGGGGUAAUAAGUCAGAUGUGAAAUCCUGUAGCUUAACUACAGAACUGAUUUUGAAACUGGUACUCUGGAGUGUGGGAGAGGUAGGUGGAAUUCCUGGUGGAGGGGUAAAAUCCGUAGAGAUCAAGAGGAAUACUCAGGGCGAAGGCGACCUGCUGGAACAUUACUGACGCUGAUGCACGAAAGCGUGGGGAGCAAACAGGAUUAGAUACCCCAGUAGUC
rnacentral:rRNA from 1 species